GUAUGAGUGCCUUAGAGUAUAGUCUCCGCUUAAAUUCGUUGGCUAGGUAUGCUCCGGCCAUAUUAGCGGAUAUGGGUGACCGAGUGCACCGAUUUGUGAGAGGCCUAGGUGUUACAUCCGGUAUUUUUGCAUAAUCAAAAAAUUGGAGAUAACUUGGCUUGUAAUGAAUGAGGCCAUAAUUGGACCUUACUUGGUAUGAAUGUGUUGGCUAUGAAAUUAUUGGUGUGAAAUACGGAGGAAGGCCAAGGGAAAAAAUUGGAAUUUCGGAAAUUAGCCUCGGGAAUUUUAAAUUAGCCAUAAGUAAUUGGGCUUGGGGAAUCAAAAAAAAAAAAAAAAAAAAGAAGGCCCAAAUAUGCAAAGGGUGGCCGGCCAUGGUAAUUAAAAUGGCCCAAGCCCACAAUAAAUUUAACUCAUGUAUUAAUAAGAAGAUGAUCCAUAGUUCUUUCCUUUUCAAGAAGUUUCAAGAACAUAAAAUUGAGAGGAAAAAGAAAGAAGGCCUACGGCCAAGAAGAGAAAGAGAAAAGAAAAGAAAAAAAAAUUCUUGGAGUUAAAUCCUUGGUUCAAAAAUCCAUUUCUUGUGGGAUUAUUACUAAGUGCAAGAUUCUCUACAACUUGGUACAAUUAUUUUGGCAAGAAACUAUCUUUGGUAGCAAGGAGAAUUUGUUGGUAAAAAGAUUCUGGACGAGAUUGGAAUCGAAGCCAAGCGAGCGUAAGGCGCAAUCGAGGUACAGACGCACCUGAAGAUACGCCGCCAGUCUAGGGCUCAG